rnacentral:rRNA from 1 species
GACGAACGCUGGCGGCGUGCUUAACACAUGCAAGUCGAACGGAAAGGCCCUGCUUUUGUGGGGUGCUCGAGUGGCGAACGGGUGAGUAACACGUGAGUAACCUGCCCUUGACUUUGGGAUAACUUCAGGAAACUGUGGCUAAUACCGGAUAGGAGCUCCUGCUGCAUGGUGGGGGUUGGAAAGUUUCGGCGGUUGGGGAUGGACUCGCGGCUUAUCAGCUUGUUGGUGGGGUAGUGGCUUACCAAGGCUUUGACGGGUAGCCGGCCUGAGAGGGUGACCGGCCACAUUGGGACUGAGAUACGGCCCAGACUCCUACGGGAGGCAGCAGUGGGGAAUAUUGAACAAUGGGCGGAAGCCUGAUGCAGCAACGCCGCGUGCGGGAUGACGGCCUUCGGGUUGUAAACCGCUUUCGCCUGUGACGAAGCGUGAGUGACGGUAAUGGGUAAAGAAGCACCGGCUAACUACGUG